CAGCAGCCGCGGUAACACGGAGGGUGCAAGCGUUAUCCGGAUUUAUUGGGUUUAAAGGGUCCGUAGGCGGAUCUGUAAGUCAGUGGUGAAAUCUCACAGCUUAACUGUGAAACUGCCAUUGAUACUGCAGGUCUUGAGUAAAUUUGAAGUGGCUGGAAUAAGUAGUGUAGCGGUGAAAUGCAUAGAUAUUACUUAGAACACCAAUUGCGAAGGCAGGUCACUAAGAUUUAACUGACGCUGAUGGACGAAAGCGUGGGGAGCGAACAGGAUUAGAUACCCCCGUAGUCCCUGUCUCUUAUAA
rnacentral:rRNA from 1 species